GAUGAAGAACGCAGCGAAAUGCGAUACUUGGUGUGAAUUGCAGAAUCCCGUGAACCAUCGAGUCUUUGAACGCAAGUUGCGCCCGAAGCCAUUAGGCCGAGGGCACGCCUGCCUGGGCGUCACACGUCGUUGCCCCCCCAUCUACUCCUUCGGGAUUGCGGGGGGCGGAUGAUGGCCUCCCGUGCGCCUCGUCGCGCGGUUGGCAUAAAUGCCAAGUCCUCGGCGACGCACGCCACGACAAUCGGUGGUUGCGAAACCUCGGUUGCCCGUCGUGUGCGGUCGUUGCGCAUCGAGGGCUCGAAAAAAUUGCCGGGCUCCGGCUCGGCUUUCAACGCGACCCCAGGUCAGGCGGGGUUACCCGCUGAAUUUAAGCAUAUCAAUAAGCGGAGGA
rnacentral:misc_RNA from 1 species